AUAUAAAGUCCUGGUUCACGCUCAGGAACGAGAGCUGACCCAGUUAAGGGAGAAGUUGCGGGAAGGGAGAGAUGCCUCCCGCUCAUUGAAUGAGCAUCUCCAGGCCCUCCUCACUCCGGAUGAGCCGGACAAGUCCCAGGGGCAGGACCUCCAAGAACAGCUGGCUGAGGGGUGUAGACUGGCACAGCACCUUGUCCAAAAGCUCAGCCCAGAAAAUGACAACGAUGACAAUGAAGAUGUUCAAGUUGAGGUGGCUGAGAAAGUGCAGAAAUCGUCUGCCCCCAGAGAGAAGAGGAUUACCUGUUCCCUCUUAAUGGGAACCUCCAUUUUGCUUUCUGGGACCACUCUCUUAAUGCCGCCUGUCAAAACCAGCUAGGACUCCCUGGGGUCCAAUCCCUCUGUGUUUAAUCUUCUGUCAUCUCUGUCCCACCUGGCUCAUCAGGGAGAUGCAGAAGGCUGAAGAAAAGGAAGUCCCUGAGGACUCACUGGAGGAAUGUGCCAUCACUUAUUCAAAUAGCCAUGGCCCUUAUGACUCCAACCAGCCACAUAGGAAAACCAAAAUCACAUUUGAGGAAGACAAAGUCGACUCAACUCUCAUUGGCUCAUCCUCUCAUGUUGAACGGGAAGAUGCUGUACACAUUAUUCCAGGUAGCCUCUGUUUUCCUUGUGUCUCAUACCUCUCUCUAGGCUGAGGAAGAUAAACUCUGAAGACAGGCUCUAUAAACACAAAUUCAUUUGAAUAAAAAACUGUGAUGGGUUUCUAAA
rnacentral:lncRNA from 1 species